ACGCGCUGGGGGGGGACAGUUAGUGACACUGACAGCAACAGGCAGCACAGCAGCAACACUUGCAGGUACUUGGAAUGGGAGGUUGGUUUUUGGGACUUCUCAAGGAUUUGGUGGCAUGACCAGAAGUAUUUCCAGGGUGUUACAAAGCCCUGAAUUUAAUGAACGUAUUUCCUAAAAAGACCAAUCCAGUAGGGGUUUAAGGGAGCUCUGUAACCAAGGGCCUGAAUUCCCACACUGGGCUGAAGGAAGUGUUACAAACAGUGCUUCAAGCUGUUUUUUAAACCAGACACACACAGUUUUGCUCAUAUCCCACUCCCAACAGCUCAUUCAUCCCCUGGGGUGAUGCAUUUCAAAGCAAGGUUUGGGACAGGAGCAGGUGAAUUGCUGUGUUUGUCUGAGCAGCUGGAACUCUGCUCCCCCAAAUGUCACACACUUCCAGGUCAGCUCUCUGGGAGCUGCCCUUCCUCAUCACUUAUCCCUGCAGUGCUACUAAAAAUCAUUCUGCAAACAAUCAAAUAAUGCAUUAAAUUGGACAACUGCUAUUAGAACAGCCUAUUACAAAUCUGGUAUUUAGCACAUGCUUCAGGCACACAAUGAUUUGUAUAAAGGGGGGGAAACCCAAACUAACCCCCCCCCCUUUUUUUUUAAUGUGGAAGGUCAGCCUCAGUUCCAAAGGCAUCUUUCAGAAUGUUUGCCUCCUACUGUGUAUUAGAGUUUUUCCACAUCUGCUCACCUGAUGCCUGUUUCUGUUGCUGCUUUAUUCAUCCCAUGCCAGCCACUGCAACUUCAUUUUAUCCUGGCAGCCCAUUGCACUAAUAUUGAUGUGAUAAUAUUGAUGAUUUGGGGCUUGUUUUCCUCCUUUUUUUUUUUUUUUUUUUUGGCAGGAAAAUAGAGAUGGCUAUUGCUACCUUUUUUUCCUAGCAGCUGACUCAGCUUUUGGGCUCAGCAGUGCUUCCUGCCACAGAAAUCCCUGUGCCCAGAGCCCAGCUGGAAACUAUAAUCAGCAGCAUCCACAUAUUUUUACUCAAAUCAGUCUUCACAUCUAUACUAAAUUAAGUUUUUCUUUUGAAUUGCAUUUAAAAAAAAACCCAUAAAUCCCCAAAUGCUUUGCCUGGGAGGAACAGUAGCAUGACACAUGACACAAGGCACUGACACAGGUUACAGAAUCUCUACAGGCAUUGUUUUUAAAUUACAAAUGAACUAUGAGAUAAAAGAAAUCAGAUUUCUCAUGACAGACAUGCACGAACACAUCCCCCGACCCAUCCACUGCUGAACACUUGUUAGUACAAGGAAAUGUUACAACACAACCUGCUUUGCUUUCAGGUGGCAGAAGAAUGCUAAGACAUGGAUAUGAAGCAUUCACCAAACAAAAAAUCCCUAAAAGCAGCCAUGCUACAGAGCCAUAGUGACCAGGAGCAAUGAUUCAUCUGGAAUCUGAACCCGCUCAAGCAGCUCCAAGGGAAAGAUGUUUCUGGCAGUGCAGGAGAGCAGCAGGAACAGCACAGGCCCUCCAAAUCAGGCUGGUGGGGGUGGCUUCUGCCUCCUACUCCAGAUUUAGGUGUCAAGUUCUCUUGGGAAGUCCAGAUCCAUCGUGCAAAUCUGCACAUGGAGGAAAGCAAAGGCAAGGGGAAGCAGGAGAAGGGCAGCCCUGCUGCACAUCUCAAGGCUAGUCCUACCCUCAAAAAAUGGCCUUCCCCAACUUGUUGGAUGUGUCUCUAGAAUUUUAAUUCCAGUUUCCAGUGAGACACUGAAUACUUAGCUCAGUAAAAUCUGAUUUAAUUCUGAGAGUUCCUUGGGUAUAUUGGAAGGAAGUCACACAUUUUUGAGCACCAAACCUCAUUAAGAAUUUAAGGGUCACAUUCCCCAGGCUCUAUCCUGGUUUUUUUUAAUAGGCCUUUAAUGCUGGGUGGUGCCUUGUACUAUUUUUUGUGACUGUGGCAUCUGCACUACCUCAGGGAAUAACACUUCCUACUAAUGAAAAAUCACAACUCAAAAUCAAAAGUUAUUUCACUAAGCCUCAUCUAUUUAAAUAGGGACCAAUUAUGCAUCCCAAUUUCCAUCAGUAAUCUGGUCACCUUCUCCAAUUCCCAUCAUUAGCACAUCAAGUUUGACAUGAGGGGAUGUUACUCAGUAAAUACUCCAGAGCUGUCUGGCACAGAGGACAAAGCCCACAAGUGAAUAAAUUAAACCUUCCAAAUACGCAGUGACAAA